AUACUUACCUGGCAGGGGAGAUACCAUGAUCAUGUAGGUGGUUCACCCAGGGGCGAGGCUCAGCUAUUGCACUGAGGCUGUCUGACCUCUGUGAUCAGCGGUGAGCUCGACAGUAGUGCAGUUUGCGUUAGGACUUAUUGGCUGAGAGUCUAUAAAUA
rnacentral:snRNA from 1 species